ensembl:piRNA 21ur-11144 ncRNA
UCGUUUGUCGUCAGCGAAAGG